rnacentral:rRNA from 1 species
UGUAAGCGUAUACCAAAGUUGUUGCAGUUAAAACGCUCGUAGUCGGAAUUUGGCAGUUCCGGAUGUGUGCACGUCGUGUGCGCACUUCGCGGGGAUUGCUUUUGUGGUCUUGCGUAGGAUGAGGCACUUUUAUUAGUGAACGUCCUCACGCAACCACUUUUUACUGUGAGAAAAUCAGAGUGCUCAAAGCAGGCAUUUGCCGUGAAUGUAUUAGCAUGGAAUAAUCGAAUAGGACUUGGUUCUAUUUUGUUGGUUUGUUGGGACUGAGUAAUGAUUAAGAGGGACAGUUGGGGGCAUUUGUAUUUCGGUGCUAGAGGUGAAAUUCUUAGAUUACCGAAAGACAAACUGCUGCGAAAGCGUCUGCCAAGGAUGUUUUCAUUGA